CUGAAUGUGGUGCAACUCAGAGACAGCUCGCUCGCUCGCUCGGUUCGGCAGUGCAGGUGGAGCGCCCCGGCGAUGAACAGUGGAUUUGAUUUAUUCUCUGCGUCGUGGAUGUGGACCUGAAAGAGAAUGGAUCCACGGAGGUGAGCCCGACACGAGCUACAGCCUACAACAGAGCGUUCCGAGUGCCGGCGCAGUCCAAUGCGCGGCGCCGACGGCGGCAUCGGAGGAGAUGGAAACAGGGAGCUGCCGCGCGGGGUUGAGGCCGUACCUCGCGGGAUGUGGAUCCGGCUGCGGCCUGAAGUGGCUGUGGCGGUCGCGAAGUAAACCCGGCGCCUUGCCUGGCGAAGAGAAGGUAAGUGGGAGCUCUGGCGCCGGCGACUCGACGUGCCAGGUGAAGAGUAGAUUAAUUAUUUCCUCGGCGUUGUCGAUCUGGAUCUGAAAGAAAUUGGAUUAACCAAGGUAAGCGCAAAAAUCGCUGCGCCGAACGAGCAACGGACCGACCGUGUGCCGGCGGGUGCCAAUGCGCGACGGCGCCGGCGGCGUCAUACAAGGAGAUGGAAGCACGGCAAGGGGGGGUUCGUACACGUACCUAGCUAGCACACGAUGGAUCUGCUGCCGGAUUGAGGUGACCGCGGAGGAACAACCCAGCACCUGGCCCGGCGAGGAGAAGCUCGGGCGCCGGCGACGCGUGCAGUCGUGCACCGCGAGGCGAAGGAGAGUGGCAGCAGUGGGAGUGAGAU
rnacentral:lncRNA from 1 species